rnacentral:rRNA from 1 species
UACGUAGGGUGCAAGCGUUUAAUCGGAAUUACUGGGCGUAAAGCGUGCGCAGGCGGUCCGUUAAGACAGAUGUGAAAUCCCCGGCUUAACCUGGGAACUGCAUUUGUGACUGGCGGACUCGAGUAUGGCAGAGGGGGGUAGAAGUUCCACGUGUAGCAGUGAAAUGACGUAGAGAUGUGGAGGAAUACCGAUGGCGAAGGCAGCCCCCUGGGCCAAUACUGACGCUCAUG